rnacentral:rRNA from 1 species
UUGGAGGGCAAGUCUGGUGCCAGCAGCCGCGGUAAUUCCAGCUCCAAUAGCGUAUAUUAAAGUUGUUGCAGUUAAAAAGCUCGUAGUUGAAUUUCGGGAUUAGUACGUCGGUCGUGCCUUAGGUACGUACUGGUGUUACUGGUUCCUACCUUCUGACGAACCAUCAUGUCAUUAAUUUGGUGUGGUGGGGAAUCAGGACUGUUACUUUGAAAAAAUUAGAGUGUUUAAAGCAGGCUCGCGCUUGAAUACAUUAGCAUGGAAUAGUGAAAUAGGACGUUGAUCCUAUUUUGUUGGUUUCUAGGAUUGACGUAAUGAUUAAUAGGGAUAGUAGGGGGCAUUAGUAUUCAAUUGUCAGAGGUGAAAUUCUUGGAUUUAUUGAAGACUAACUACUGCGAAAGCAUUUGCCAAGGAUGUUUUCAUUAAUCAAGAACGAAAGUUAGGGGAUCGAAGACGAUCAGAUACCGUCGUAGUCUUAACCAUAAACUAUGCCGACUAGGGAUCGGAUGAUGUUAAUUUUUUAAUGACUCAUUCGGCACCUUACGGGAAAC